rnacentral:lncRNA from 1 species
CCAGCACUCUAACUUUUGUCAUAAGAAAAUGAUGCACACAGAAGCAACCUAUAUGCUGUGCUCUGUUAUCUACUGAUGCCUGUGUUCUCCUCAACACUGUGGCAGUCAACUAUCUGGAGGGAUAUGGAGCUUAGUGGGAAGCUGCCACAUCUUCACUUUUGCUUCAAUAAGGUUCUAACCAUGAAAACUGCACUCCAACUAGAGAGAAUAAUUUCCAUUCUCAAACUCUGGAGGCUCACCCCUUAACGUUUUAUGAAAGGCAGAUCCAAGGCAAGCAUCUCUUCAAUUUAACCUUCACAAGAGACACAAUUCAGUCUUUUAUUUUUCCCAAUGAUACUGCAAUCAACUUGAGACUGCUCACCAUGAACCAUUUGAAAAUAUUUUUCAAAUUAAUACACAAAUUAUGAAGCAUACGUUGGCUGCUGAUCCCUGUGAACCAUUCCCAUUGACUUUUAAGUCCAAUGCUGUAUAUCAGGU